rnacentral:rRNA from 1 species
GCAGUCGACGGUGAAGCAGAGCUUGCUCUGUGGAUCAGUGGCGAACGGGUGAGUAACACGUGAGCAACCUGCCCUUGACUCUGGGAUAAGCGCUGGAAACGGCGUCUAAUACCGGAUAUGAGCUGCGAUCGCAUGGUCAGCAGUUGGAAAGAUUUUUCGGUCUGGGAUGGGCUCACGGCCUAUCAGCUUGUUGGUGAGGUAAUGGCUCACCAAGGCGUCGACGGGUAGCCGGCCUGAGAGGGUGACCGGCCACACUGGGACUGAGACACGGCCCAGACUCCUACGGGAGGCAGCAGUGGGGAAUAUUGCACAAUGGGCGAAAGCCUGAUGCAGCAACGCCGCGUGAGGGAUGACGGCCUUCGGGUUGUAAACCUCUUUUAGCAGGGAAGAAGCGAAAGUGACGGUACCUGCAGAAAAAGCGCCGGCUAACUACGUGCCAGCAGCCGCGGUAAUACGUAGGGCGCAAGCGUUAUCCGGAAUUAUUGGGCGUAAAGAGCUCGUAGGCGGUUUGUCGCGUCUGCUGUGAAAUCCCGAGGCUCAACCUCGGGUCUGCAGUGGGUACGGGCAGACUAGAGUGCGGUAGGGGAGAUUGGAAUUCCUGGUGUAGCGGUGGAAUGCGCAGAUAUCAGGAGGAACACCGAUGGCGAAGGCAGAUCUCUGGGCCGUUACUGACGCUGAGGAGCGAAAGGGUGGGGAGCAAACAGGCUUAGAUACCCUGGUAGUCCACCCCGUAAACGUUGGGAACUAGUUGUGGGGUCCAUUCCACGGAUUCCGUGACGCAGCUAACGCAUUAAGUUCCCCGCCUGGGGAGUACGGCCGCAAGGCUAAAACUCAAAGGAAUUGACGGGGACCCGCACAAGCGGCGGAGCAUGCGGAUUA